rnacentral:rRNA from 1 species
GUGUCAGCAGCCGCGGUAAAACGUAGGAGGCGAGCGUUAUCCGGAUUUACUGGGUGUAAAGCGCGUGCAGGCGGUUCGCUAAGUUGGAUGUGAAAGCUCCCGGCUCAACUGGGAGAGGUCGUACAAGACUGGCGGACUGGAGUAUGGUAGGGGAAGGUGGAAUUCCGGGUGUAGUGGUGAAAUGCGUAGAUAUCCGGAGGAACACCAGUGGCGAAGGCGGCCUUCUAGACCAUGACUGACGCUCAGACGCGAAAGCUAGGGUAGCAAACGGGAUUAGAAACCCCAGUAGUCC